rnacentral:rRNA from 1 species
CCUGACUCUGGGAUAAGCGCUGGAAACGGCGUCUAAUACCGGAUACGAGCUGCGACCGCAUGGUCAGUAGCUGGAAAGAAUUUCGGUCAGGGAUGAGCUCGCGGCCUAUCAGCUUGUUGGUGAGGUAAUGGCUCACCAAGGCGUCGACGGGUAGCCGGCCUGAGAGGGUGACCGGCCACACUGGGACUGAGACACGGCCCAGACUCCUACGGGAGGCAGCAGUGGGGAAUAUUGCACAAUGGGCGAAAGCCUGAUGCAGCAACGCCGCGUGAGGGAUGACGGCCUUCGGGUUGUAAACCUCUUUUAGCAGGGAAGAAGCGAAAGUGACGGUACCUGCAGAAAAAGCGCCGGCUAACUACGUGCCAGCAGCCGCGGUAAUACGUAGGGCGCAAGCGUUAUCCGGAAUUAUUGGGCGUAAAGAGCUCGUAGGCGGUCUGUCGCGUCUGCUGUGAAAACCCGAGGCUCAACCUCGGGCCUGCAGUGGGUACGGGCAGACUAGAGUGCGGUAGGGGAGAUUGGAAUUCCUGGUGUAGCGGUGGAAUGCGCAGAUAUCAGGAGGAACACCGAUGGCGAAGGCAGAUCUCUGGGCCGUAACUGACGCUGAGGAGCGAAAGGGUGGGGAGCAAACAGGCUUAGAUACCCUGGUAGUCCACCCCGUAAACGUUGGGAACUAGUUGUGGGUCCAUUCCACGGAUUCCGUGACGCAGCUAACGCAUUAAGUUCCCCGCCUGGGGAGUACGGCCGCAAGGCUAAAACUCAAAGGAAUUGACGGGGACCCGCACAAGCGGCGGAGCAUGCGGAUUAAUUCGAUGCAACGCGAAGAACCUUUCCAAAGGCUUGACAUAUAGAGGAAAACGUCUGGAAAACAGUCGCCCCGCAAGGU